rnacentral:lncRNA from 10 species
CUCUUCCGCCUCCGUUUCCUCAGCUGCCGGGAGCUGCCCGGAGAACCAGGCGCCUCCCAGUUGCUUUCGCCUCCCGCGUUGUUCGGCCAGAGCCUCGGCGCUGCUGCGUUUUGACUGGAGAUCUGAACGCUGCGUUAGGCCCCUUUCCCGUGAGCAGCAGAAGCCAGUUCUCCUGCCUUAACCACGGGAAUCACCGCCAGGCAGCGGGCGGUUCCCUGGAGGGCAGGGAGGGCUGGGGCCCCGGCCGCUCCAGAGGGUCCCAGGGCAGGAGGGACGCGUCGACGCCCAUCCCAGCACAGGUGCGGCACGGGGCCCAGGCUGCCUCCGCCUUUUUUCUUUUCUUUUUUUUUAAUUAUUAUACUUUAAGUUUCAGGGGACAUGUGCACAACGUGCAGGUUAGUUACAUAUGUAUACAUGUGCCAUGCUGCUGUGAUGCACCCACUAACUCAUCAUCUAGCAUUAGGUAUAUCUCCCAAUGCUAUCCCUCCCCCUCCCCCCACCCCACAACAGGCCCCGGUGUGUGAUGUUCCCCUUCCUGUGUCCAUGUGUUCUCAUUGUUCAAUUCCCAUCUAUGAGUGAGAACAUGCGGUGGUUGUUUUUCUGUCCUUGCGAUAGUUUGCUGAGAAUGAUGGUUUCCAAUUUCAUCCAUGUCCCUACAAAGGACAUGAACUCAUCAUUUUUUAUGGCUGC